rnacentral:rRNA from 1 species
UGGGGAAUUUUGGACAAUGGACGCAAGUCUGAUCCAGCAAUGCCGCGUGCAGGACGAAGGCCUUCGGGUUGUAAACUGCUUUUGUACAGAACGAAAAGGCUCUGGUUAAUACCUGGGGCUCAUGACGGUACUGUAAGAAUAAGCACCGGCUAACUACGUGCCAGCAGCCGCGGUAAUACGUAGGGUGCGAGCGUUAAUCGGAAUUACUGGGCGUAAAGCGUGCGCAGGCGGUUUUGUAAGACCGAUGUGAAAUCCCCGGGCUCAACCUGGGAACUGCAUUGGUGACUGCAAGGCUGGAGUGCGGCAGAGGGGGAUGGAAUUCCGCGUGUAGCAGUGAAAUGCGUAGAUAUGCGGAGGAACACCGAUGGCGAAGGCAAUCCCCUGGGCCUGCACUGACGCUCAUGCACGAAAGCGUGGGGAGCAAACA